GCCGGGUGUGGUGGCACACGCCUGUAGUCCCAGCUACUCGGGAGGCUGAGGCAGGAGAAUCACUUGAACCCAGGAGGUGGAGGUUGCAGUGAGCCAAGAUUGUGCCACUGCACUCCAUCCUGGGUGACAGAGUGAGACUCUGCGUCAA
ensembl:misc_RNA Metazoa_SRP Metazoan signal recognition particle RNA